AUACCCCAUAGUCCGAGAGGUUAAAGGCAGCGAUGCGCGACGGGAGGUACUCGUGUCCUAUCAGCUAGUUGGUGAGGUAACGGCUCACCAAGGCGACGACGGGUGGCCGGCCUGAGAGGGUGACCGGCCACACUGGAACUGAGAUACGGUCCAGACUCCUACGGGAGGCAGCAGUGGGGAAUAUUGGGCAAUGGGAGGAAUCCUGACCCAGCGACGCCGCGUGAACGAAGACGGCCUUCGGGUUGUAAAGUUCUUUUAUGUGGGAAGAAUAAAGUGACGGUACCACAUGAAUAAGCCCCGGCUAACUACGUGCCAGCAGCCGCGGUAAUACGUAGGGGGCGAGCGUUGUCCGGAAUUACUGGGCGUAAAGGGCACGCAGGCUGUGCUUCAAGUCAGCUGUAAAAGGAUGCGGCUUAACCGUGUUAUGCAGUUGAGACUGAGGUGCUGGAGUACCGGAGAGGCAAGUGGGAUUCCCAGUGUAGCGGUGAAAUGCGUAGAUAUUGGGAAGAACAUCGGUAGCGAAGGCGACUUGCUGGACGGUAACUGACGCUGAGGUGCGAAAGCCAGGGUAGCGAACGGGAUUAGAUACCCCGGUAGUCCUGGCUGUAAACGAUGAAUGCUAGGUGUGCGAGCAGAGAUGUUGGCGUGC
rnacentral:rRNA from 1 species